rnacentral:rRNA from 1 species
AUUGAACGCUGGCGGCAGGCCUAACACAUGCAAGUCGAACGAGUGGCGGACGGGUGAGUAAUGUCUGGGAAACUGCCUGAUGGAGGGGGAUAACUACUGGAAACGGUAGCUAAUACCGCAUACCAUCAGAUGUGCCCAGAUGGGAUUAGCUAGUUGGUGGGGUAACGGCUCACCAAGGCGACGAUCCAUAGCUGGUAUGAGAGGAUGACCAGCCACAUAAGACCUGAGACACGUUCCGAACACCUACGGGAGUCAGCAGUGGGGAAUAUUGCACAAUGGGCGCAAGUCUGAUUCAGCCAUGCCGCGUGUAUGAAGAAGGCCUUCGGGUUGUAAAGUACUUCCAGCGGGGAGGCGUUACCCGCAGAAGAAGCACCGGCUAACUCCGUGCCAGCAGCCGCGGUAAUAC